rnacentral:rRNA from 1 species
UACAGAGGUCUCAAGCGUUGUUCGGAUUCAUUGGGCGUAAAGAGUUGCGUAGGUGGCAAAGUAAGUUAAUAGUGAAAGCGUGUGGCUCAACCAUACUCACAUUAUUAAAACUGCUUAGCUUGAGAAUGAGAGAGGUUACUAGAAUUCCUAGUGUAGGAGUGAAAUCCGUAGAUAUUAGGAGGAAUACCGAUGGCGUAGGCAGGUAACUGGCUCAUUUCUGACACUAAGGCACGAAAGCGUGGGGAGCAAACGGG